rnacentral:rRNA from 1 species
CCUACGGGGGGCUGCAGUGAGGAAUAUUGGUCAAUGGGCGAGAGCCUGAACCAGCCAAGUCGCGUGAAGGAUGACGGCCCUACGGGUUGUAAACUUCUUUUGUCAGGGAGCAAUUAAGUCUAUGUGUGGUCUUAGCGAGAGUACCUGAAGAAAAAGCAUCGGCUAACUCCGUGCCAGCAGCCGCGGUACUACGGAGGAUGCGAGCGUUAUCCGGAUUUAUUGGGUUUAAAGGGUGCGUGGGCGGAAUAUCAAGUCAGCGGUAAAACUUCGGGGCCAAACCUCGUCGUGCCGUUGAAACUGAUGUUCUUGAGUGGGCGAGAGGUAUGCGGAAUGCGUGGUGUAGCGGUGAAAUGCGUAGAUAUCAAGAAGAACUCCGAUUGCGAAGGCAGCAUGCCGGAGCCCAACUGACGCUGAAGCACGAAAGCGUGGGUAUCGAACAGGAUUAGAUACCCGAGUAGUC